UGGGUGAAUAAGAGGGGGAUUCCAUGGCACUGAUAGAGCCCUAUAGUUUCAGAGCUGGGAAUUUCUUUCCCUGAAGCUGAACUCCAGAGCUGCAUUCAGCACAGGCACCGCCAGUUGUAAGGAGAAUCCAGGUUUCCCAGGAGAGGGGUUGGUGCUGGGAUGAGCUGACCGGGGCAGGGCUGGAAAAUAGGGCUGUGACCAUCUGUGUAGUGCGUGUGGAGGUCUCAGGGAGGGAAGUGUGCUCUCCCUGCGAGAGCUGCAGGCAACACUGGGAGCUCAACAAGUCUCCCUGUCCUUAGGGAAGACCUCAGAAGUGCUGAACGCUGCCAAGGUGCUUCUCAUUGAGACACAGAGAUGCAACAGCAGAUAUGUCUAUGACAACCUGAUCACACCAGCCAUGAUCUGUGCCGGCUUCCUGCAGGGGAACGUCGAUUCUUGCCAGGGUGACAGUGGAGGGCCUCUGGUCACUUCGAAGAACAAUAUCUGGUGGCUGAUAGGGGAUACAAGCUGGGGUUCUGGCUGUGCCAAAGCUUACAGACCAGGAGUGUACGGGAAUGUGAUGG
rnacentral:lncRNA from 1 species